UACUCCAUGUUCUUUUUUGCUACAAUGACAGAUGGUCAAAGGAAGAUUAGUGACCUGGGAUAAUCUGUAAUUAGCAUGUUUGUGUGCUGGCAUCAAUGAGGUUAGACUCUAUUCUUCAAAUGAGAGGUCUUAGGAUGUGAGGGACCAGACCAUGAUGUAACAAACCAGGACACAGUUCAACAUGGCAAGCAAAAAGACAUCAAAGCAGAAAUUAGAAGAUAAAGACCCCAAGAAUAAAACAGAGGGGAAAAAAACAAAGGG